rnacentral:lncRNA from 1 species
CACUCUGUUUCAGGUGCCCUAAGGAGCUGGGCCCAGAAUGGCAGUCUUCCCAGAGAAUCAGUGACCCAGGAAGAUCCAAACCAAAACCAAGCUGAGCCGAACAGCCAGGUGAAACACCCAGGUACUCCAGACCCUUUCUCGGAACCAGGAGGUAACGCCAUCGACUGUUAGGGAGGCUGCUCUGCUGCCUAGACACGCGAGCCCAGCAGAGCUCACCACCAGCCCCGCCUCAUGCCUGUCAUUUAACUGGCUGCAAGGGGCAGGCGGGAAUAGUCUCCUAGAGGAGCCCCACCCACACCAGUGGCUCUCAGCAGCAAAGGCAGGAGGCCCAGCCUUGCCUGGGCCACAGAACACGCCACCUGUCUAGGCCCCGUGGGCCAUUGUUCUACUCCAGGGGAGCCCACUCAAAAGCAGCAUUUACCACCCACCAACUCAGGCCAGAGGUCAGGAACUGGGCCAGUGUUAGGACUAAAAGGAGGAGUGACCCCAAGAGUAACAAAUGGCCUGGGGACUUACAGGCUGGGGCACCAACUGCCCUGUGGUUAUUGUCCUCUGGUUGCUGGGAGCUCACCUUUGACUUGACCUUCGCAGAGGUCCAGGCACCUGUACCAUGGCAUGGCAGGUGCUCCAUGGACACCUGUUGGAAGAACAAACAGGAGUCAUUAUCAUUGAAGGGAGCUUGUGAUGCCCUCUGGCAGCACUCUGUCUGGUCCUCCCAGCAGCUCUGAGGGUUGACCUCUGCGUGCCUUUGUAUCCACCCAUCCACAUGAGGCUCCUCCAGACCUCUCAACCGUAAGCAGCAGCACUGAGGUUUCUGAGCACAGACCCCACAAAUGUCCCCUGAUGCUGCCCUGGAAGGUGGGCAGCUGCCUGCAUGCUCUGAGAUAGGGGCCAACUCUCUGCUUCUUUCUCCCCGUUCUCCUGCACUGGCUUUGGGGAGCCGGCCAUUUGGGCCCCUCCUGGGCUGCUCCCCCGGCUGUUACUCUCUGGCUUCUCUGAGCACCAAGAACCCGCUGAGGCAUUUUUAAGAGUGAUGGCUUUUGAGCAGGAGAUCUGGGCUCCUUGCUGGCAAUGGGUCCCUGGCAAGUCACAAAACACUUCUGUUCCUCAUUCUCCACACCUGUUCUCCGGGCUGUGGUGAGGUGGAUUAAAUGAAAUGGAAAUGGGAAAGGUCCUCGGUUAUCUGGUGCUAGAAAAAUUGUGAGGGAUAAAGAGAAAAUGUGUUCCCCGCAGUUAUCCUUAGGCCGGACCCACAGAUGCUGCAGCUGCAGUAACUGGCUCUGGCCAGCGCUAAUCCCUGGGGCAGUGUCUGUCUGCACCCUCACAUCAGAGGCUCUCCCCCCUGGCCACUCCUCCCUGGCUACCCCAUGACCACCCACUGCCCCUCUACCCUCACCAGGCUCCCUCACCUCCAGGGCCUCCCAGUGCCCAGUGAACUGGACGUGAGUCUCGUCCAGCCUAGAUCCUGGCAUCUGGCCCCCUCUACCAUCCUCCCUGACCUGCUGCAGCCCCUGCCUCCCAAAGUCCCAUCCAGUCUGUGGCACAGUUGCAAAACCCGGAGAUCCUGCCUGUGAUGUCCCUCCCACGUCCAUCUUGAACUCCUCCCCUCCCCAGUUGUUUGAGAGCAGCUCCAGUUCUCUGGGGAGCCUGGUUCUACCCUCACCUUCCUUUUGAACCAGUGACGGAGCCUCUGUCUGCUCCUCCUUGGGGAGAAGGAACCUUCCACAUGGCCCAUCCAUAGGGCAACAGAGAGUGGAGGAGAGAUGGGAAGGGCGAGGCCGGGAUGGACGUCUGACAUCACAUGAGUGGAAAUGUGCCUGAGAGAGGCCCUGGUGACUCAUUGACCACAGGGCCCUGAGCCUGGCACCUCAUAACGGCUCGGUAAACAUGCAGUUGCUCAGGCUCACGCUGACAUGGAAUAUGUGAUUUUUAUUGUUUUCAAAACCAUCCCAAGAAUGUGGGCAUCGAGGAUCCAGUGG